rnacentral:rRNA from 1 species
CCUACGGGUGGCAGCAGUGGGGAAUAUUGCACAAUGGGGGAAACCCUGAUGCAGCGACGCCGCGUGAGUGAAGAAGUAAUUCGUUACGUAAAGCUCUAUCAGCAGGGAAGAAAUACUGACCUUACGGUCAGCAGACGGUACCUGAGUAAGAAGCCCCGACUAACUACGUGCCAGCAGCCGCGGUAAUACGUAGGGGGCAAGCGUUAUCCGGAUUUACUGGGUGUAAAGGGUGCGUAGACGGUGCGCCAAGUCUGGAGUGAAAUGCCGCAGCUUAACUGCGGAACUGCUUUGGAAACUGGCGAACUAGAGUGCGGGAGGGGUAAGCGGAAGUCCUAGUGUAGCGGUGAAAUGCGUAGAUAUUAGGAGGAACACCGGUGGCGAAGGCGGCUUACUGGACCGUAACUGACGUUGAGGCUCGAAAGCGUGGGGAGCAAACAGGAUUAGAUACCCUAGUAGUC